rnacentral:rRNA from 1 species
CUGCCCCUGUCAGGGGGACAACCCGCCGAAAGGCGGGCUAAACCCGCGUACAUGCCACCGGGGCAUCCCGGAGGCAGGAAAGGCUUCGGCCGGACAGGGAUGGGCAUGCGGCGCAUUAGGCAGUAGGCGGGGUAACGGCCCACCUAACCGACGAUGCGUAGGGGUUCUGAGAGGAAGGUCCCCCACACUGGUACUGAGACACGGACCAGACUCCUACGGGAGGCAGCAGUGAGGAAUAUUGGUCAAUGGUCGGGAGACUGAACCAGCCAAGCCGCGUGAGGGAUGAAGGUACAGAGUAUCGUAAACCUCUUUUGUCAGGGAACAAAGGCGGGGACGUGUCCCCGGAUGAGUGUACCUGAAGAAAAAGCAUCGGCUAACUCCGUGCCAGCAGCCGCGGUAAUACGGAGGAUGCGAGCGUUAUCCGGAUUUAUUGGGUUUAAAGGGUGCGCAGGCGGUCUGUUAAGUCAGCGGUCAAAGCCCGGGGCUCAACCCCGGCCCGCCGUUGAAACUGGCAGUCUCGAGUUGGAGAGAAGUAUGCGGAAUGCGCGGUGUAGCGGUGAAAUGCAUAGAUAUCGCGCAGAACUCCGAUUGCGAAGGCAGCAUGCCGGCUCCACACUGACGCUGAGGCACGAAAGCGUGGGUAUCGAACAGGAUUAGAUACCCUGGUAGUCCACGCAGUAAAC